rnacentral:rRNA from 1 species
UCCAGAAGUAGCUAGUCUAACCGCAAGGGGGACGGUUACCACGGAGUGAUUCAUGACUGGGGUGAAGUCGUAACAAGGUAGCCGUAGGGGAACCUGCGGCUGGAUCACCUCCUUA